rnacentral:misc_RNA from 1 species
GAUGAAGAACGCAGCGAAAUGCGAUAAGUAAUGUGAAUUGCAGAAUUCAGUGAAUCAUCGAAUCUUUGAACGCACAUUGCGCCCGCUAGUAUUCUGGCGGGCAUGCCUGUCCGAGCGUCAUUUCAACCCUCAAGCCCCCGGGCUUGGUGUUGGGGAUCGGCGAGCCUCCGCGCCCGCCGUCCCCUAAAUCUAGUGGCGGUCUCGCUGUAGCUUCCUCUGCGUAGUAGCACACCUCGCACUGGGAAACAGCGCGGCCACGCCGUUAAACCCCCAACUUCUGAACGUUUGACCUCGGAUCAGGUAGGAAUACCCGCUGAAAUUAAGCAUAUCAAUAAGCGGAGGA